rnacentral:misc_RNA from 1 species
UGUUUGCAAGAAAAGGUUUGACAGGAGAGGGAGGAAGACACUCGAGCUAGAUAACAGAUCUGCGGGGGAAGUGGAAGUCUAAGAGCGAGUACCUCGAAAGCGAGCACGAAAGGAAGGCUUGAAAGGAAGAAAGCUCGGAUUCGAGUUAUGGCGCAAAGCCUUUAUAUUAUGCCCUUCUUUUGACUAUUUUCUUUACGAGGUAAUGAGUCCUCUAUCAAGACGUCCCCCGUCAAUCUUUGCUCACACUCCAAAUUGAAUGAUCGAAAGCCCAGAUAUCGAAUUGAGCACUCGUACUUCGCUAAUUCUUCCCCGAGUAACUGUAUAAACGCCGAUUCACGAGCUUUCGAGAACUCGGAGAGAUCUACUUGAAAGGAAGACUCCCACUACGCGCUAAGAUCAUGUAAAUGAAAGUCUUCCAACGCUUCUCGAAACUCCCUCAUCUUGCUAGGUGCUCUAUUCUCGGACCACUUUACGUUCUUUUCGCUCCUCUCACAUUCUAAAGAGCGUCUUCAAGCCUUCGCUUCCUUAUGAGAUUACUUUGUUGAACCGAUCUACAUCUACGGAACCAACUUCAACUGUACCAACCCGGAUAGUUGCUUCCCCACCUUGGCUUUCCCACCUUAAGUUUCACUUUCACAUGGAUUUGACCUACCUUCUGCAAUAGAGUGAUCUAAGACUUUUCUUCGCUUCGGGGGAUGCCCUUCUUCCCGGAUCACUACUCAUCUUAUUUAUUUUAUUUCUCGGGUGCGCUAUUUACCUUUCACACUAGAGUCGUGCUUUCUAAUCGCAGAAAUGGAUCUGACCACCAAGGGCAUAGACUCUCGUAUAAG